rnacentral:rRNA from 1 species
UACGAAGGGGGCUAGCGUUGCUCGGAAUCACUGGGCGUAAAGCGCACGUAGGCGGAUCAUUAAGUCGGGGGUGAAAUCCUGGAGCUCAACUCCAGAACUGCCUUCGAUACUGAAGAUCUCGAGUCCGGGAGAGGUGAGUGGAACUGCGAGUGUAGAGGUGAAAUUCGUAGAUAUUCGCAAGAACACCAGUGGCGAAAGGCGGCUCACUGGCCCGGUACUGACGCUGAGGUGCGAAAGCGUGGGGAGCAAACAGG